rnacentral:lncRNA from 1 species
UUUGUCAGUGAGUUUAUUAUUCUUAUUGCUCUUCUAGUUUAUGAGUUUCUUUGAGUAUUUUGAUCUAGUGCACCAGGUUAGAAUAUAGUUCAUAGUGUAAGCAUGGUGCUUAGGCUCGGAUUACUCAUAGAUGCGCCCUAUAUUCUAGAUCGAUGGUAGAUUGUGAGGAUGACUUUAUAGCCUUGUUGAGUUGUCUAUGGUCCACCUCCUGUUUAUAGGCCUAGCAAGAGAUCUUUGUUACGUGGUAGAUUAAUACUCUAUUUGUGAUCUUACAUAGUAAUUCCCUAGCAGAUCAAUAAUUGCAAAACUCACUAAAAGUAGAACUAGACAACCCUAGUUUUCUCCCUCAACCUUUUAGCGUCUCAUCCUUGACUAUGCUUAGGGAUUAAGCCAAGAUCAAGAUCCCUCCAUCUGUUUCUUUAGGUUUGAUAUUAAAACAGAGUCAUCCCGAUGAAGUGCUACAUCGGUAUCUUAUAUGUGCACUUGUGGAUAAACUUAGUGUGCAUUAAUAAUUACCAACAAGCAUUUCUAGCAUUAUUGUCAGGGAACAGUUGGUAGCUGAUCUCGAGUCUAGCUUAAUAUUGUAUUAUACUUUUAUCUAAGUCUAGAUAGUUGACAAAUAUGAUAUGGGAAAGUUUUGAGCUGUUGUCUAUCUUGUUCCUAGAGAUGCCAGAGUUCUGGAGAAUUUAUUUUUGAAAUCCUAAAUUGUUGCAUGAUGAGUUCCUAUAUAACGAGGUUCAAAAUUCCUACCACAGUCAUAUAUACAUGCUUACUAGGUUAGGAAAGGCUCCCAUUUAUAUAUUUAUAUCACUCUAUAGGCAUUGAGGGUAGCUAAGCUGUGUUGACCCUUAGGAAUUAUUCAUGCGGUUAAAGUCAAUACUAUGUGCUCUCCAUCCAUUGAUCUAUGCUACUUAUAUCCUCAGAAGCAUGCGCUCACUUACAUUCACUAUGCUACAUUCACUUUGUGCCACUUUUAUUCCCGGAAGUACCACCCACAUAUACACACAUCACACCAUGUGUUGUUUCUAUCCUAGAGACACGCACCCAUGCUCCUACCCUGGGAGUAUGCAUCCAUCCAUCCACAUACAUAUACGCCAUUCAUUCUGAUCCAUUCACAAAAUGUUCUACUCCUACACUGGGAGUAAACAUCCAAAAAUAUUUGUCGCCAUUUUAUACUUUUCUAUUAAAGCUCCAGUUAUUUUAGUUGAUAAUCCCUGUUGCUAUAGUUUCAUUCAAUGGGUUUGGUUGCUUUAAAAAAAGAAAGAAAAAGAAAUAAAGAAAUAAAGAAAUAAAGAAAGAAAGAAGAAAGAGGAUGAAAGCAUCUAGGCCCCUAGUGAGUUUUGGUGAUUAAUGACAAUGUUGAUUACUAUGACUAAUGUGUGUUUAGUAGCAGAAAAUCAUUUGAGUUAGGUCAUGGUUAUGGUGAUCAAUGGACUAGUAUGUUUGUGCCUACUUGAUGGUGGAAAUCGUUUUAGUUUUCAAAGGAUUAUUGGACAUCGUCAGGACUAGACUAGGUCUAAGUACCAUUUGGUGUUGAAUGGUGCUUAGAGUAGUUUAGGACUUUGUUUUUCCUUUAAUCAUACUAUUAAGGAGGGAAACGAAUGGGUAGUUUGACCUAGACAAGGCUUUAGGUUUAGGUGUGGUGCACACUUAAUAAAUCUAGCACUAGGUAGCUCAGAGAAAGUCCUUAGAUCGAGAGGAUCAAACUUCAUUUUGGAAAGUUCAUGAUUUGAUGAAAUCUUGAUCGAGUAGAGACAACAGACGCUAGCAUGAGCCGCUACAGUGCGACUGUUGAAGUGUCUAGUGUAUAUAGGAGUUCAGCUAGCGUGCCAAGUGUCUAGGGUUAGGCACUAGACGCGUAUGUUAACCGUUGAUAACGUCAACUUUUAUUAGAACUUUAGACUCAAAGGAAAAUAUGAAAACAUAUUAGUCUAGGGUUUAAACUGACAAUUUCCACGAGUUUUGCAUAUUCUAUGGUUUUUAGGGAUUAUUUCAGAAAGUGCUAAAAAGAGAGAUUUAAGUGCCAAUUAACCACCAAAUUUAUCCGCGAUGGAAGGAGGACACCAGAGGGAUUAGAAAGACUCCAGAAGACUCUCGGAGCAAGGGGACCGGCAUAAACCACCAGGUGGGGCUGGCUGGCCCCACCAUGGCGCCGCCCGACCCCUGUGGCUAGGGUUUGGCCUCUCCUUCUAGAAGCUUCCUCCACUACCUCUUAUGAGUCAUCUUGGCCGCUUGUUAAGUCAGUUUGAUUCAACGGCGCGUGUGCACUCCACUAGGCUAUAAAUAGAGGGCAGACCCCCUCCUGGAGACACCCCC